UCUUCUUCUUCUUCUUCUUCUUCUUCAUUGUCGAAUUUUCCAACCAAGAAAAUAAUUAGAGAAAGAAAGAGGAGAGACGAUGGAAUGUGCCUGCGUUAGAAUUUUCUUGACUAAAGUGCGAAAUAUCAGUCAAAAUGACGGUGAGAAGAAAUGAAAGACAGAUGUCGGGAAAACAUGUCGUUUACGCGGCAUCUCGCGUCUCAAUUCGUUUUCGUUAUUGACACGUCAUCGUCCUCGUCCUCGUCCUUAUCCUCGACCACGUCCUUAUCAUCCUCGUCGUCAUCGUUGUCGUUGUCAUUGUUGUCGUCGUCGUCGUCGUCGUCGUCGUCGUCGUCGUCGUCGUCGUCGUCGUCGUCGCGAGUGCAACGAGAAAAUGCAAAACUUUGAGAAACUCGUACGCUCGUGGAAAAAUAUCCUCGAGGAAGAAGAAGAAGAAGAGGAAGAAGAAGAAGAAGAAGAAAAAGAAGAAAAGUCAACGAUAAUAAGUGACGAGGUUCGAUACGAUAAUCGUUCGUCGACGAAACGGCCGAAUUCGAACGCGUUUCUUCUAUGUCGAUUUAGUCUGGUUAACGCGACGACGCUUCGACGUGAGUGCGAUCGUCGUGUUGUCCGAAGUAACAUUUUCAUCUAUCGACGACGAUACAUCGUAGCGUGAGAGAUUUUUCGUCGGAUGCUGUACAAGCUUCUUCUGAUUUUUAUCUCCUUGGAGCAAAUAACAUUGGCUAGAAAAAGAAAGAGAGAGAGAGAGAGAGAGAGAAAGAGAGCAAAGAAUGAAACAAGCAACAUAUGCACGUAUAAGCGAGUAUGCACGCGCAGCACUUCCUUUUCCCACAAUCGACAAUCAUAUUUGUGUUCUAAAUAGUGUCUUCGUUUGGUAAACAAGACAAUAAGUACUAUGAAAUAGGGGGAGGAAAAAGGAGGAGGGAGAAAGAUAAUAAGAUACCGAGUUCGAAAUCGUAGCGAGUGCAAUCAACGAUUCUACGAGAAUAUUUUUCGCAUUUUCACGGAGGAUAGUGUCGACUGUUAUUACGUAGAGAUGGAGGAAACUGAGAGGAGGAGGAGGAAGAGAAGGAGGAAAUGCGUGUGCGAAAUCGUUCGAUAGUUUGAUGUUCGAAUUUAAUCGAAAGCCGUUCUGUGUCGUUCGAAAGAGUACGAGUGUAAAUUCGAAGCUCUCUAACGGGUGUUCGGUAAAUACUAAACUGCUCUUGCUACGAUUGCUACGAAUUUCGUAGGUCGUGUAUUUUUCUCCUCUUUUUUUUUUUCUUUUUUAUUUUUCUUUCUUUUCCUUUUUUUUUCGCGCGUGUGAAAGUGCUCUCCUGUCGAACAGCAGUAUCAGCAGCAGUAGCAAUAACAACAACAGCAACAACAACAAUAACAACAAGGCAAUAUGUGUUGCAGUGAUGACGCAGGAUGACUCUGAUAAAAGUGUUGAAUACGAUCGAAGUAAGUGAAGAAUUGGCUAUAUUCGAGAGUCUUCGCGAUACUUUUGUGCAGAGGACGUAUCAGGGAGUAUUAUCCUGCGUGAGUGAUUUCGAGAUGAGAAGAGAUUUGUGUGAGAGGAACGAGGAAACACGUGAAAAGAUGUAUAGAAAGAUGAAUAGAACGGUUACGCCGAAAGAAACGUUACUACGAUCGAGCGUGCGUUAAAAAUUGAAAGUUCGAACGAUUUUGAAAGAAGAAGCAGACGAAGAAAAUUGAAGAAGGGAGAGAAAGAGAGAGACGAUCAAAUUUGAUGCGUACGAUUGAUAUAUAAGAGCCUAAAGAAAAAGAAAAAGAAGAAUCGAUCGUCGAGAAUAUAUCGAGCGGCCUCUUGCUUCAAAAUGAUAUCCUGUGGAAUUGUCCGAUUAAGAUGAUCGAUGAAAAGAGAUUAUAUUUCAUUUAAAAGCGGCCGCGUAACGACGUAGAUAUAAUAAUACGUAUUUUAAUCGGACGCCGACUUUUUCCUUCUCAUCUUUUUCGAGGGAGGACGAACUUGCUAUAUCGGAGUUUACAAAGAGUGGUGGUGGUGUUUGUAGCGCUCGUUGAACGCGCGUCAUCUUAUAUAUUUCGCCUGUUCAACGCACAAAGAGCGAACGUAGUGCGAGAUAAUAGAGCUCGUAAAGUGAAUCCACGGCCAAAAAGCAUUUGCUUCUACUUCGAGGCAUACGAGAGAGAGAGAGAGAAAGGAGAGAGAGAAAUAGAGACCUUUUAGUAGAAACUAGAACGCGGUUGCGAAGUUUACCGAUCAAACUAUUCAAUCAGCUCCCUCGGUAUUCUUGCAAGAAGUUCGAUAUAACGUACCAAAUGCAUUCUACAAUGUUAGAUUGACGUUAGCCAGAGAGAUAUUCGCUGAGAUUGAGAAAAUUGAAAUUAAAUUUAAGAAGAAAGGAUACAAGAAGACGAAAAGCUCGCUCAGUAUAUAUAUACACACACACACACUAUCUUUUUCGAGUUUUUCUAUUUCUUUUUUUUCUCUUCCUAUCACGGAAGGAAAAAGAUAAUUUUGAAAGAGGAAGUAGCUGCGUCCAUGUAACAUAUCCCGAGCAAAUGCCGGCGUAUGUUAUAGAAAGAGAGAAAAAUCUAGUAGAUUUCCUUUUUCCAGCUCUAUACAAAUUUGCUAUAUGUAUCUCUGGGAAUAGAUUAGAUUUCUUACCUUUGCAUUCGAGAGUGCGGAGACGUCAUUCGUGUCGUUCGAGAACGCCUAAUAAGAACGGGGAACCAUACGAUUCCAUCGUAUCGUCUCUAAAAGAAAUUUAUGUGAAUUAAAGUGAAUCAUAUAAAGUGAGGAAGAAAGAUAAAGAAACAAAAUACGGUAUAGUAAAGAAAGAGAGAUACAGAGAAAAAAAGAGAGAGAGAGCGAGAGAGAAAGAGAGAGAGAGA